ACUGAAUUGAAUCCAAGGGCUGCUGAGGACCUUGCCAUUCAAUGGGCUGUGGUGAAAUGGGAGGCCUGGAACUAAGCAGCUUCUUUUUUUUUUUUUUUUUAGUCUCAAAGGAAGAACCUGGAUCUUCUAGAGCUGCUAACAUUGAGGAAAGCAGGAUGGGGGAUAGAGAAAAACAAAUUUCACGUUACAUGGAUUGAGCUGCCAGAUCAAGUUUCUGCUGAAGAUACAGGCACUUGAAGAAAAACUGCAAUCUGAGAAAUGAAGGAGAACCAUGCGCAGAGGAUUUUGAGAGAUGUGGCUAUAAGGAAGUGGAUAAUAGGAAGAGGCGAACCAUUGGACAACCUUAAGAUUCUUCCUGCAGAUAGAUGUUAGAGUUGGAGUUUUGGCUGCUCAAACUGAAGCAGAAGAUCCUCCACCAAAAUUUCCUUCAAUAGGGGAAUCAUCUUGUGUAGAAGAUAUUAGAGUAAUGAUAGGAAGGAAGGACUGAAUGAGAAUGGGGAAUGAGCUCAGGGAAGUUUUAAGGGGAGAGGAGAUCCUUACACUAGGCCACAGUGCAAUAAAAAGAACCAAGAGUUUAACAACAUACAUGGUGUACCUACCAAGUACUGGGCACAGUGUUAUUUACAUACUUGGGAACGAGAAGAACAGAUAGGAUCCUGUCGAUAUAAACUUACAAUAGUUGUCUCAUUGAAGAUGCUGCCAGAGUUUCCAUUAGCAAGCAGCUUUAAACAGCUUUCUAAAAUAAGAAAGGGAUAUGGGAUGUAAGAAGCAUGGUGACAGUCACUGGAAAUGGCAAACAUGUCUAGAGCAAUAUAUGAGGUUCAUGCUGGUGUCAAUUUCAGCACUCAAGCCCUAGAAGCCUAGUAUUUUUUUUUAUUGCCUUUAGCACCUUGAUAUUAAAAAUAUUCUUGACUCUUCCUUUAA